rnacentral:rRNA from 1 species
UACGUAGGGUGCGAGCGUUGUCCGGAUUUAUUGGGCGUAAAGAGCUCGUAGGCGGUUCAGUAAGUCGGGUGUGAAAACUCUAGGCUCAACCUGGAGACUGCAUCCGAUACUGCUGUGACUAGAGUCUGGUAGGGGAUCACGGAAUUCCUGGUGUAGCGGUGAAAUGCGCAGAUAUCAGGAGGAACACCGGUGGCGAAGGCGGUGAUCUGGGCCAGUACUGACGCUGAGGAGCGAAAGCGUGGGGAGCAAACAGG